rnacentral:rRNA from 1 species
UACGGAAGGCAGCAGUGGGGAAUAUUGCACAAUGGGCGAAAGCCUGAUGCAGCUAUGCCGCGUGUAUGAAGAAGGCCUUAGGGUUGUAAAGUACUUUCAUCGGGGAGGAAAAACAAAACUAAUAAUUUUAUUUCUUGACGUUACCCGAAAAAGAAGCACCGGCUAACUCCGUGCCAGCAGCCGCGGUAAUACGGAGGGUGCUAGCGUUAAUCAGAAUUACUGGGCGUAAAGAGCACGUAGGUGGUUUUUUUAAGUCAGAUGUGAAAUCCUUGGGCUUAACCUAGGAACUGCAUUUUGAAACUGAAAUACUAGAGUAUCGUAGAGGGAGGUAGAAUUCUAGGUGUAGCGGUGAAAUGCGUAGAUAUCUGGAGGAAUACCUGUGGCGAAAGCGGCCUCCUAAACGAAUACUGACACUGAGGUGCGAAAGCGUGGGGAGCAAACAGGGAUUAGAUACC